rnacentral:rRNA from 1 species
AUACAGAGGGUGCGAGCGUUAAUCGGAAUUACUGGGCGUAAAGCGCGCGUAGGCGGUUUGUUAAGUCGGAUGUGAAAUCCCCGGGCUCAACCCGGGAACUGCGUCCGAGACUGGAAGGCUCGAAUCCGGGAGAGGGAUGUGGAAUUCCAGGUGUAGCGGUGAAAUGCGUAGAUAUCUGGAGGAACAUCGGUGGCGAAGGCGGCAUCCUGGACCGGUAUUGACGCUGAGGCGCGAAAGCCAGGGGAGCAAACGGGAUUAGAAACCCCUGUAGUCC